CAUCACUGUAAGAUCCCGGCUCGGGCGGGCGGCUCUCCUCUCCUCCUUUCUGGCUGGUUGCCUGCCGUGCCGUGACACAUGAUGGGCGCGCCGCCGGGAUGAGAGGCACAAGAUGGCGCCGGCGAGCAGUACACUUGCACAUGUAUGUCAGAAUAUAUAUAGGAAGUCCAAUUGGGAGAUUGAAGACUCCUUUCCAAUGGCUGCAGCAGAUGACACGACUACAAAGCCAGGUCCAGAAAUCUUGCCAAGUCUUCAAGAGAUGUGAGAAGCCCAUGGAUCAUAUAACCUCCCCUGGCAUCAUUCCUGAAUUGAUUUUCAGUUUUGUGUAGACUAACACUUUUAAAGCUGGCCAUACACCGGUAAAUUUCUCAACAAACGCCCAUAUGAAAAGUCUUAUCAGUACGUUUGAGAUCAACAUUGGAUAAAGCCAACAGAGAUUUAAUAAAGGUCAUCCAAAAGUA